rnacentral:rRNA from 1 species
AACGAACGCUGGCGGCAGGCCUAACACAUGCAAGUCGAGCGAGGACUUCGGUCCUAGCGGCGGACGGGUGAGUAACGCGUGGGAACGUGCCCUUUGCUUCGGAAUAGCCCUGGGAAACUGGGAGUAAUACCGGAUGAGCCCUUUGGGGGAAAGAUUUAUCGGCGAAGGAUCGGCCCGCGUUGGAUUAGGUAGUUGGUGGGGUAAUGGCCUACCAAGCCGACGAUCCAUAGCUGGUUUGAGAGGAUGAUCAGCCACACUGGGACUGAGACACGGCCCAGACUCCUACGGGAGGCAGCAGUGGGGAAUCGUAGACAAUGGGGGAAACCCUGAUCUAGCCAUGCCGCGUGAGCUAUGAAGGCCUUAGGGUUGUAAAGCUCUUUCAGCUGGGAAGAUAAUGACGGUACCAGCAGAAGAAGCCCCGGCUAACUCCGUG